AGCAAGAAAAAGCAGAAAGACUGAAAAUCAGUGGCAGGGAAAAGUGUCACCCUGAAAACUGGAGAGCCAGGUGAACCCAGAGAAUCACGAAUAAGACCUGCUUAUCUGGAACAGAACCCACUGGAGCCAAACACUGAAACCUCCAACACAUGAAACAAAGCUUUGAUUUGAAGAAAGGAGAGCGUUGAGGAUCGUGUGAUGUUUAGAGAACACAAACCAAACUGCAUGUGAAAUAUUGCCCACCUGCAGAAGCUCUCGAAGGGCACUAAACGAGGAAACCAUGCGAUACAAGAACGAUUGUUCCUGGGAUAGGACGAUGGGACCACACAAAGGCAACAUUCUCUAGGCAAUCCUGAAAUGGUUUUUGACAUAUUUCAAGGGGCAAACUGAACAGUUUAAAAAAGACCUGUUUAGUAACAGAAAAGAAAAAGACUGGUAGAGCUAUGCGUUGCUUUACUUAGAUUGGUCGCACAUGUGCCAACCAUAAAUACGAGCUUUUCCUACGUAUAAUGUCCUUCCUUUCUUCACUCCUUUCCUCUCUUCUUCCUCCUUUUCGUUUUUUAGUCCUGUCAAGAAUUUCCCAUGGCAAAUCUCUGCUCCUAAAAGCACGUGACAACCAAGUUCAUUGUGCUCUCUCUUUCCUAGAAAUCCUAUGGAAACUAUCUAGAUGUUUAAUUAUACAUUGCCUUACAGUGAUUUCACAUUAUUUAUUACCAUAAAUAUUUUCUCUAAAGUAUGUGAUAAGCAGAAAACUAUUUGCAUGUGCCAUUAAAGAAUAGAAAAAAAAUCAAUGCCCACAUUACUCAGCUUAAAUAUAAUCAUUACCACUAAUUUUGAAGCCCUUGUGUGAAAUAUCUCCAUCUUUUUUCCAGUUUUCUAUUGGAUUGUCAUCUUCUUAUUGAUU
rnacentral:lncRNA from 1 species